rnacentral:ribozyme from 1 species
AAUAGCUUGAAAGAAAAAAAAAAAAAAAUAGGAAGAAGAGAAAAUCAAAAAGGAAAACUUCAGCUUCAAUACUAAAGGCUUCCUUCAUUACUACCUCCCCUCUACCUAUUUCUACCUCUACCUGUCAUUAAA